rnacentral:snoRNA from 1 species
AAGCAGUGAUGAUAGACUUAUGUGUAUGAAAAUAUGAUGUAUAAUAUUAUACGCUAUACUGAGCUUUUG